UUCCCCCGACCCACCGCCCCGCAGGCGGUGCGUCAUCCCGGGGCUGCAAUGGUUUCGACGGGGCAUGAGGAGGGUGACUGAAGCCUGCUCGGUCAGAGCGAACCCGUAACAGCGAACAACAUCGUUCGUUUCUCCCGUCAAGCCGCCCCCGUGGCUGCCUGA
rnacentral:misc_RNA from 1 species